UCCCAGACUCCUACGGGAGGCAGCAGUGGGGGAUAUUGCACAAUGGGGGGAACCCUGAUGCAGCGACGCCGCGUGGGUGAAGGAGUGCUUCGGCAUGUAAAGCCCUAUCGGCAGGGAAGAAGCAAGACGGUACCUGACUAAGAAGCCCCGGCUAACUACGUGCCAGCAGCCGCGGUAAUACGUAGGGGGCGAGCGUUAUCCGGAUUCACUGGGCGUAAAGGGAGCGCAGGCGGCAUGGCAAGUCUGAUGUGAAAACCCGGGGCCCAACCCCGGGAGUGCAUUGGAAACUGCCAGGCUGGAGUGUCGGAGGGGUAAGCGGAAUUCCUAGUGUAGCGGUGAAAUGCGUAGAUAUUAGGAGGAACACCAGUGGCGAAGGCGGCUUACUGGACGACUACUGACGCUGAGGCUCGAAAGCGUGGGGAGCAAACAGGAUUAGAUACCCCCGUAU
rnacentral:rRNA from 1 species